rnacentral:rRNA from 1 species
GACAGAGGGUGCAAACGUUGUUCGGAAUUACUGGGCGUAAAGCGUGUGUAGGCGGCUACGUAAGUCGGAUGUGAAAGCCCCAGGCUCAACCUGGGAAGUGCACUCGAUACUGCGUAGCUUGAGUAUCGGAGAGGUUGGUGGAAUUCUCGGUGUGGAGGUGAAAUUCGUAGAUAUCGAGAGGAACACCAGCGGCGAAGGCGGCGCUCUGGGCCGGUACUGACACUGAGGAGCGAAAGCGUGGGUAGCAAACAGG